AUUUUUGAAUCAAUUAUCUGCAAUGCAAAUAUCAUGUGACUAAUCACUUGGUACAUGUAGAAAAAAAUAUGUUUUGGUAAUGCUGAGAACAUAGACCCAAACCCUUAAUUAGUGACAGUCUUGAGAUGUGAUGGGUGAUGCUAACCUGCAGAACCUAACACCUGCAGGAUUCAAGGGCAUGUCGCUGAUACUUUAUGGAUCUUCCCUUUCAGAGUUUGAAACGAGGAGCUUUGGGUUACCGCCAUUUAUCUGGAACACACCACCACAUCUUGUCAGUUAAUGCAGAUCCUACGAGCAUGAGACACACAAAUACACAAAACUGAGAAAAUAUGGGGGUGUCCCACAUUACACAUGGACUUGUGAUUUGAGAAGGCGCUUGAAUUACAUGAAGUUCAGCAGCUGGUGUACUAUCAGCAGCAACGAGUAGCAGCCCUAUGGUGACCCCGCUUUAGGCCCGUCAUGCUGCUAAAUCGGACCUCUGAUUAGCUCCACGCCUCUGAAAUGACAGCUGUACUGGAUACAGAUCCGUUGCACUGGAAUGAAGAGCAGUGUGUGGUAAUCCUAUUACUCUUGUGCGAAAACCAGCUGAGAGAAAGAGAGGGAGAUGGAGAGAGAGGGAUUAUCAGUUCUCUGUUAUAGUGGUGAGCAGACAAAAAGCACUUUAAUCUAUGGAACAUGACCCUAAAGACUGAGAGAAGAAUACAGGGAGGAGAGAGGAGGGGCGCUAAAGGGAAAUGAUGGGACUCCUGACAGUUGGAGCGCCAAACUUGAAAAUAAAC
ensembl:lncRNA